UACGGAGGAUGCGAGCGUUAUCCGGAUUUAUUGGGUUUAAAGGGUGCGCAGGCGGCCUGUUAAGUCAGCGGUAAAAGCCCGGGGCUCAACCCCGGCGAGCCGUUGAAACUGGCGGGCUGGAGUUGGAGAGAAGUACGCGGAAUGCGCGGUGUAGCGGUGAAAUGCUUAGAUAUCGCGCAGAACUCCGAUUGCGAAGGCAGCAUGCCGGCUCCACACUGACGCUGAGGCACGAAGGCCAGGGGAGCGAAAGGG
rnacentral:rRNA from 1 species